rnacentral:sRNA from 1 species
UCUUGUGAGUCCGCACGACUAGGCAUUA